UGGAUCUAGAUCUCUUCUUCCAGAUCUUGAAGAAGGAGAUCGUUGUGCGAAUUUUUUCGCACAGAUCCGAUGGGAUCUGAACCAGAUCACCAUGAAGAGAAAAAGAAUCCUUAUUCUUUUUUUCUGCUCUCUCUUUUCUCUUCUUAGAUCUGAUCUCUAUCAGAUCUUGGGUGUGGAGGAUGAAGGAAGCAAGGAGAGGAAACGUUGAAGACCACCCACACGGCAAGGAAGAAGACCCUCUUCUUUAUUACAUGCUCCCUCUGUCCCUCCUUUUAUUUUUGUCACACAACCACACCAUAUCUCACACACAACUUCUCCUUUUAACACCCAAGAGAUCUAAUCUCUUUUAAUCCAAGGCAUUCAAAAUCAAAUCAAAGGAUAGAUGGACGUUGAGAUAAGGGUGUGUUUUAAGAAAGAAACCUCUUCACAAAAUAGCACAUGCCAAACUUUCUCUAAUUUUUUUUAUCACAUAAAAAAUUUUUUACACACCUAAUCUAAUAUAAUUUAAUCUUAUUUUGAAUUAUAUUCAAAUAUAAAAAAAUUUGGGUGAAAAAGAAUACCAGACAAGGUGGGGCGCCAACUAUUGGCGCCCCCUCCCCUUUCACACGCGCA
rnacentral:lncRNA from 1 species